AUUGAACGCUGGCGGCAAGCCUAACACAUGCAAGUCGAACGAGUGGCGGACGGGUGAGUAAUGUCUGGGAAACUGCCCGAUGGAGGGGGAUAACUACUGGAAACGGUAGCUAAUACCGCAUACCAUCGGAUGUGCCCAGAUGGGAUUAGCUUGUUGGUGGGGUAACGGCUCACCUAGGCGACGAUCCCUAGCUGGUCUGAGAGGAUGACCAGCCACACUGGAACUGAGACACGGUCCAGCCGCCUACGGGAGGCAGCAGUGGGGAAUAUGGCACAAUGGGCGCAAGCCUUAUGCAGCCAUGCGGCGUGUAUGAAGAAGGCCUUCGGGUUGUAAAGUACUUUCAGCGGGGAGGCGUUACCCGCAGAAGAAGCACCGGCUAACUCCGUGCCAGCAGCCGCGGUAAUAC
rnacentral:rRNA from 1 species